rnacentral:rRNA from 1 species
GACGAACGCUGGCGGCGUGCUUAACACAUGCAAGUCGAGCGGUAAGGCCCUUUCGGGGGUACGACGAGCGGCGAACGGGUGAGUAACACGUGGGUGACCUGCCCUCAGCUCUGGGAUAAGCCUGGGAAACCGGGUCUAAUACCGGAUAUGACUCCAUGACGCAUGUUGUGGGGUGGAAAGCCUUGUGCGGCUGAGGAUGGGCCCGCGGCCUAUCAGCUUGUUGGUGGGGUGAUGGCCUACCAAGGCGACGACGGGUAGCCGGCCUGAGAGGGCGACCGGCCACACUGGGACUGAGACACGACCCAGACUCCUACGGGAGGCAGCAGUGGGGAAUCUUGCGCAAUGGGCGAAAGCCUGACGCAGCGACGCCGCGUGAGGGAUGACGGCCUGG